rnacentral:rRNA from 1 species
GCCUGCCUACGGGGCGCAGCAGUGAGGAAUAUUGGUCAAUGGUCGGGAGACUGAACCAGCCAAGCCGCGUGAGGGAGGAAGGUACAGAGUAUCGUAAACCUCUUUUGUCAGGGAACAAAGACUGGGACGCGUCCCCGGAUGAGUGUACCUGAAGAAAAAGCAUCGGCUAACUCCGUGCCAGCAGCCGCGGUAAUACGGAGGAUGCGAGCAUUAUCCGGAUUUAUUGGGUUUAAAGGGUGCGCAGGCGGUCUGUUAAGUCAGCGGUCAAAGCCCGGGGCUCAACCCCGGCCCGCCGUUGAAACUGG